rnacentral:lncRNA from 1 species
UGAAACCAUGUCCCUUAUGUUUUUUGUGCCUGCAAAAGGAAUUUCCUCCACACUCAUAAAAUUGAAAGCAAAUUUUUUUCAAAUAAAAUAAGUUCUAGCCCAUCCACUAUAUAUAUUAAAAAAAGUUCUCGCCCAUCCAAAUAUUUCCACAAAAAAAGUGCUUGCCCCGCCCCAUUUUGCACCGGCCCAUCCAUCUGAUAAAUAUUGAACGGUCCCUAAAGGAUAUU